GAAAGAGUAGCUUAAAAUAAAAGCGUCGAGCUUUUAACUCGGAAAUGGAUACCCCUCUUUUU
rnacentral:tRNA from 1 species